CCCAGUCCAUCACAGAAGAACUGCAACCAGACGAAGCUGAAGACAUCGACGAUGACGACGAGCUCCCCGUCUUCAACAGACUCUUCUUCAUCUUCUUCCCCUCGAACCCGUUCAUCACAAACCCACACAGCUGCUGUGGCAUCAACCAAA